rnacentral:rRNA from 1 species
UACGUAGGUGACAAGCGUUGUCCGGAUUUACUGGGCGUAAAGGGCGCGUAGGCGGUUCGUUAAGUCCUGUGUGAAAUCCCCCGGCUCAACUGGGGAACUGCACAGGAAACUAGCGGGCUUGAGUUCGGGAGAGGGAAGCGGAAUUCCGGGUGUAGCGGUGAAAUGCUUAGAGAUUACAUGGAAUACCAAUUGCGAAGGCAGGUUACUACUAAUGGAUUGACGCUGAUGGACGAAAGCGUGGGUAGCGAAUAGG